rnacentral:tRNA from 1 species
CUUUGCGUGGCUUAGUCAGUAGCGCGUUUGGCUUGCAAUCGAAUGGUCGUGGGUUUGAAUCCCACCUAAAGU